UCCGUAGGUGAACCUGCGGAGGGAUCAUUAGCGAGUAUAACUCUCUAAAACCAUUGUGAACGAACGUACCGGUUGCUUCGGCGGACGGCUUGCCGCCGCCGAAAGAACUCAACUCUUGUUAUCAUUGUCUCUCUGAGUAAAUUACUUAAUAAGUUAAAACUUUCAACAACGGAUCUCUUGGUUCUGGCAUCGAUGAAGAACGCAGCGAAAUGCGAUAAGUAAUGUGAAUUGCAGAAUUCAGUGAAUCAUCGAAUCUUUGAACGCACAUUGCGCCCGCCAGUAUUCUGGCGGGCAUGCCUGUUCGAGCGUCAUUUCAACCAUCAAGCCCAGGCUUGUGUUGGGGGCCUGCAGCUGCUGCAGCCCCCUAAAAGCAGUGGCGGACUCGCUGUCAUACCGAGCGCAGUAGUUACAUCUCGCUCUGGGCAUGGCGGCGGGCACCUGCCGUAAAACACUCUUUCUAAGGUUGACCUCGGAUCAGGUAGGAAUACCCGCUGAACUUAAGCAUAUCAAUAAGCGGAGGA
rnacentral:rRNA from 1 species